rnacentral:tRNA from 1 species
GGAAGCGUGGCCGAGUGGUUGAUGGCACUAGUCUUGAAAACUAGCGACGAGGUAACUCGUUCGUGGGUUCGAAUCCCACCGCUUCCG